AAAGCAAUUUCCAUGUGGAUGUGGCGAGAGAAGACCAGGGACUCUCAUAUAGACAAGACACCGUCACCCCUGCCUCUAAUUUUAAAGACGGAGACGGCAGUCCGGGAGCAGUUCCAAGGGUUCUGGCAGGCCAGAAGAGGACACCAGACCUCAUUACGGAUGGUUGUGAGCCACCAUGUGGUUGCUGGGAAUUGAACUCAGGACCUUUGGAAGAGCAGGCAGUGCUCUAACCACUGAGCCAUCUCUCCAGCCCUAAUAAGGACUCUUGUGGACUGACGCAAACUUGCGUGUGAAAACCCUAGUCGCUGAUCUGACUGUAGCUAGAAAUAGGCCAUUUGGAGGACCGUUACUACUCAGUCGGUCAGCACUGUGAG